UACAGAGGUCUCAAGCGUUGUUCGGAUUCAUUGGGCGUAAAGGGUGCGUAGGUGGCGAUGUAAGUCGGAUGUGAAAUCUCCAAGCUUAACUUGGAAACUGCAUUCGAUACUGCGUUGCUAGAGGACUGUAGAGGGCAUUGGAAUUCACGGUGUAGCAGUGAAAUGCGUAGAUAUCGUGAGGAAGACCAGUGGCGAAGGCGAAUGCCUGGGCAGUUCCUGACACUGAGGCACGAAGGCCAGGGGAGCAAACGAG
rnacentral:rRNA from 1 species